rnacentral:lncRNA from 1 species
CUCUCUCUUCUUUUCUUCCUUUUCGCUCUUCUUUUCUUUCUCACUUUGAGUUUGGAUAUAAAAAAGCGAAGAAGCGUUUGUUUAUAUAAGGGAUAUUUUGCGACACUAUUGUGACCAUUUUCAAAGGAGUCGCAAAAUUUAGUUUCCAUCGAUUAUUUACAACGUUUUCAAACCACAAUUUCUGACUUAAUUGCGACUAAAACUAAUGGCGUUGCAAUAGUUUGUGAUAAGUCUGUAUUUCAUCGCUUUUUGAGCAUGAAUUCAUCAUCUUUUCAGCAUCAUUCACUUGUUGAUUCGCAUCAUAUUGAUCCCUUUCUGCAUGUUUUACAUACUUAGGUAGGUUUUAUGCAUAUCAUGCAUAUCUUGCAUACAUUGUGCAUAUUUGGAGUGUUUCAGGUACUUAGGAGACAUGCAGAGCGAAGCAGAGGAACAAGCGUUACUCGACAUGCACAUGAUCACACGCACUCGACAUGCACAUGAUCACACGCACUCGAGUGAGCAGCAGACGUAUACGAUCGAGUAGCUGAUCGAGCAGAAGGGAAGCGAAGCAGAACCACCUGUCACUCGAUGCACUCACUCGAGUGACAUGAUCGAGCAAAGCAAAGAAGUAGCUGAUGGUUUCACAGGUCACUCGACACAAUCACUCGAGGAACACGGUCGAGUAUGAAAUGAUGCAGAGAAGAAAUUAAGUGUUACUCGAUAUGCUCACUCGACCAACAUGACCAUUACAACUUUUAUACCGCUUUUACGUUGUCGUUUUAUGUUUUAAGGUUUUCCCAAACAUUGUUAUAAAUAGGUCUCAUUUGGAUUGCCCAAAGGAUCGAGUUUUAUUUUAUUAGGUUUUUGUUGUUAGCCACCAAACGAUCAUGAGAAUUGUAAUCCUGAUUUCUUUUGAGUCAUUGAUAUUUUGCAGUUAGUUCUUGAAUCAUUGUUGUUACUCUUCCUUUCAUCUUUAUUAUUAUGCAUGUUUUGAACGAUUCUUGUUUCAUGAUGUUUAACAUGAUUUCUGCGUCUGAGUAGUGUUAGGGUUCUUGAGGAUGGGAUAGAUUAGGUGGAGGAUGUUAGUUUGCUAGAGUGUUUAAGUUAGAUUCGUUUUGUUUCCCUUCUGGACUAGAGUUUUAUUAGCUAGUUCUUCUCUGAUCAAUUGGAACUGGGUCAUAGACAUUUCNNNNNNNNNNNNNNNNNNNNNNNNNNNNNNNNNNNNNNNNNNNNNNNNNNNNNNNNNNNNNNNNNNNNNNNNNNNNNNNNNNNNNNNNNNNNNNNNNNNNAGCAACGCAAAAGAGUUUCACCACCCCAAGUGGAGAUGGAAAACAUUCAACCACCACCCUCACCCCCACCACGGGCACCUACACGGAUUGGAGCUGGUGAUGCUCCACGCAAACAUACCCAUCGUCAGGGUAUAGUGACUCCAGCUGUGGCGAACAACAACUUUGAGAUCAAGAGUGGUCUGAUCUCCAUGGUCCAGCAGAAUAAAUUUCAUGGUCUGCCUAUGGAAGACCCCCUAGAUCACCUCGAUGAGUUCGAUCGUCUCUGCAGUCUCACCAAGAUCAAUGGGGUCAGUGAGGACGGUUUCAAGCUUAGUCUCUUUCCAUUCUCUUUGGGUGACAAAGCUCAUCAAUGGGAGAAAACUCUUCCUCCAGGAUCUAUCACUUCCUGGGAUCAAUGCAAGCAGUCGUUUCUUGCCAAGUUUUUCUCCAACUCUAGAACUGCACGUCUGCGCAAUGAGAUCUCUGGGUUCACUCAGAAGAAUGGAGAAACGCUUUGUGAAGCCUGGGAACGCUUCAAAAGUUAUCAGUCUCAGUGCCCCCACCAUGGCUUCACCAAGGAGUCUCUCCUCAGUACUCUUUACCGGGGUGUUCUCCCAAAGAUCCGGAUGUUGCUUGACACUGCAAGCAAUGGCAACUUUCUGAACAAGGACGUCGACGAAGGUUGGGAGCUUGUUGAGAACCUAUCCCAAUCUGAUGGCAACUACAAUGAAGAUUAUGAUCGAACCAUCAGUGCAAGCACAUAUCUUGAUGAGAAGUACAAGAAGGAGAUGAAAGCUGUGAAUGAUAAGUUGGACAAGCUAUUGAUGAGCCAGCAGAGGAACAUCCAUUUUGUCUCUGAAGACGACCCUUUCCAGAUUCUGAAUGGGGAGGGAGAACAAUCUGAGGAGAUAAGUUAUGUCCAGAACCAAGGUGGAUACAAUAAGGGAUACAAUCCUUAUAAGCAUAAUCCCAAUCUGUCCUAUCGGAGCACCAAUGUUGCAAACCCCCAGGAUCAGGUUUAUCCACCUCCACAACAGAAGCAGCAGGGGCAGAACAAACCAUUUGUACCCUACAACCAAGGUUAUGUGCCCAAACAACAAUUUCAGCAAGGUUACCAACCUCCAGCAGGACCACCACCAGGAUUCCAACCUUAACAGGCUCCGCCUCUUCAGGCACCAGAUCAAGACAUGAAAAACAUGCUUCAGCAACUCCUACAGGGACAAGCAAGUGGCUCCAUGGACAAUGAUAAGAAGUUUGCUGAGCUGGCUUAGAGAUUGGACUGCUCAUACAAUGAUUUGAACAUGAAGAUUGAGACUCUGAAUUCAAAGAUCAAGUAUAUGGAAGGCAAAACUGCUUCUACUUCUGCCCCAAAGCCUGGCCAACUCCCAGGAAAAGCUGUUCAGAAUCCUAAGGAGUUUGCUCAUGCCAUCACGCUGAGGAGCGGUAAAAAAUUGCCUCCCAGACAAGGACCUGUUGUAGUCACUGAGGACAGUGAAGACUUGGGAGGGGAGGAUGUAUGUCAGAAUGAAGAGCCGGUUGUUCUUUUGGAAGAAUCAGAAGUCGUACCUGAAGAAGCUCCUCAACCUGCCGAGAAACAUGCUGAAACACCUGCAACAUCCAAGGAUAAGCCUACGAGAUACGUUCCCCCACCAUACAAACCACCUCUACCAUUUCCAGGACGAUUCAAAAAGCAGCAAGCUGAAAAGUAUAAGGCUUUAUUUGAAAAGCAAGUGAUAGAGAUUGAGUUGAGAAUGCCAUUGCUGGAUGCAUUCGCACUUGUCCCUCCUUAUCAGAAGUUCCUCAAAGAUUUGGUUAUGGAGAGAACAAAAGAAGUCCAGGGCAUGGUGAUAUUGAGUCAUGAAUGCAGUGCCAUUAUCCAGAAGAAGAUCACUCCCUUGAAGCUUAAGGAUCCUGGAUCCUUCACUCUACCAUGCUCACUAGGCCCCCUAUCUUUCAGUAGAUGCCUAUGUGAUCUUGGAGCUUCUGUGAGUCUUAUGCCAUUGUUUGUGGCUAAGCGUUUAGGAUUCACAAGAUACAAGGCAUGCAACAUAUCUCUCAUUCUAGCUGACAGAUCAGUGAGGCACCCACAUGGACUCUUGGAAGACCUGCCAAUAAGAAUUGGUGUUGUUGAAGUUCCCACAGAUUUUGUUGUUUUGGAAAUGGAUGAAGAGCAUAAGGAUCCCCUGAUUCUUUGAAGACUAUUCCUAGCCACUGCUGGAGCUAUCAUUGAUGUUAAGAAGGGAAAGAUAGACCUAUGCUUGGGAGAAGAUUUCAAGAUGACAUUUGACAUCAAGGAGUCUAUGAAGAAACCAACAAUCAAUGGCAAGGUGUUCUGGAUAGAGGAGAUGGAUCAGAUAGCUGAUGAACUUUUAGAAGAACUUGCUGAGGAGGAUCAUCUCAAGACAGCCUUGACAAAGAGUGGAUCAGAUGGAUUUCUUCAUGCUGAGACAAAGGUCUACGAAACGUUACUGGAUACCUACAAGGCAAGUGAUGAUUCAGAACGUUUUGAGAAAUUUGAUAAGUCUGUCAAGGAGGUAUGCUCAGUAGAGGAGGAAGUCAGUGGCAGCCCAAUCACUCACCCUGCUGUUGACCCUGUCAAUGCGGCUGAUGAUAACUAGUCAGAGUUAAAAGCUCCCAAGGUUGAGCUCAAACCGCUACCCUCAAGACUGAGAUAUGUAUUCCUUGGAUCCAACUCUACUUAUCCUGUCAUUGUGAAUGCUAGCUUGAGUAAUGAGGAAUUAGAGUUGCUAGUCACUGAGCUUAGAAAAUAUAGAAGGGCCAUAGGUUAUUCCUUAGAUGAUAUCAAGGGGAUCUCACCUAGUCUCUGCAUGCAUAGGAUUAAUCUGGAAAAUGAAUCAUACACUAGUAUUGAACCUCAAAGGAGAUUGAAUCAUAACCUUAAGGAAGUUGUGAAAAAAGAAAUUCUUAAACUGUUGAAUGCUGGGGUUAUCUAUCCUAUCUCUGAUAGUACUUGGGUAUCCCCAGUACAUUGCGUACCCAAGAAAGGGGGAAUUACAGUGAUAAAAAUGAAAAAGAUGAAUUGAUCCCCACUAGGACUAUCACUGGCCAUAGGAUGUGCAUUGAUUACAGAAAACUAAAUGCUGCAUCUAGGAAAGAUCAUUUUCCUCUUCCUUUCAUUGAUCAAAUGUUAGAACGAUUAGCGAAUCAUCCCUACUACUGUUUCCUUGAUGGGUAUACCGGAUUUUUCCAAAUUCCUAUCCACCCAAAUGAUUAGGAAAAGACUACUUUCACUUGUCCCUAUGGCACAUUUGCCUACAGACGCAUGCCUUUUGGUUUGUGUAAUGCACCUGCAACAUUUCAGAGGUGUAUGACCUCUAUAUUCUCGGAUUUGAUAGACGAGAUGGUGGAGGUAUUCAUGGAUGAUUUUUCCGUGUAUGGCUCCUCAUUCUCCUCAUGUUUGUUGAAUCUCUGCAGGGUAUUAGCAAGAUGUGAGGAGACAAGCCUAGUGCUCAACUGGGAGAAGUGCCACUUCAUGGUGAACGAAGGUAUAGUGUUGGGACACAAGGUAUCAGAGAAAGGGAUUGAGGUUGAUAAGACAAAGAUUGAGGUCAUGGUACAGUUGCAACCUCCAAAGUCAGUCAAGGAUAUAAUGAGUUUCCUUGGGCAUGCUGGGUUUUACAGAAGAUUCAUCAAGGACUUCUCAAAGAUUGCACGACCCCUUACAAGACUGUUGUGCAAGGAGGUCGAGUUUGUUGUUGAUGAGAGCUGUCUGGAAGCUUUCAACAAGAUCAAGGAAGCGUUAGUCUCAGCACCAAUAGUCCAAGCUCUAGACUGGGAUCAUCCUUUUGAGAUAAUGUGUGAUGCCUCAGAUUAUGCAGUAGGGGCUGUGUUGGGACAGCGAAUAGAGAAGAAACUGCAUGUCAUCUACUAUGCGAGCAGAACCCUUGAUGAGACACAAGGGAGGUAUGCAACAACAGAGAAAGAGCUCUUGGCUGUAGUCUUUGCGUUUGAGAAAUUCAGAAGUUACUUGGUAGGAUCAAAAGUUGUAGUCUACACAGACCAUGCUGCGCUUAGGCAUAUAUACUCCAAGAAGGAUACCAAGCCGAGACUGCUGAAAUGGAUACUUCUACUACAGGAGUUUGAUAUGGAGAUUGUUGAUAAGAAGGGGAUAGAGAACGGCGUUGCUGAUCACCUGUCCAGAAUGAGAAUAGAAGAUCCAGUCCCUAUUGAUGACUCUAUGCCUGAAGAACAUCUUAUGGUUGUUGAGAUAUGCAAGAAGAUGCAUCAAACAGGAAUGGCUAUGAAGGAGCUUCAAUGUCUAGCUGUCAAUUCAGAGAGUAUGCCCUGGUAUGCGGAUGUGGUUAACUACAAGGUCUGUGGAGAGAUUCCUGCAGACAUGGAUGCUUAUAGGAAAAAGAAGUUUUUCAGAGAUGUCAACCACUAAUUCUGGGAUGAACCUUACCUGUACAAGAGGGGUUCAAAUGGGCUGUUUAGGAGAUGCAUAGCAGAAUGGGAAGUACAGGGAGUGCUUGAGCACUGUCAUGGAUCCGCAUAUGGAGGACACUUCGCUACAUUCAAAACAGUUCAGAAGGUUCUGCAAGCAGGGCUUUGGUGGCCAACGUUGUUCAAGGAUACAAACAGUUUCAUCACCAAGUGUGACGCUUGCCAGAGGAUGGGUAACAUCAACAAAAGGAAUGAGAUGCCUCAGAACCCGAUUUUGGAAGUAGAAAUUUUUGAUGUUUGGGGAAUUGAUUUCAUGGGACCGUUCAAUCCUCCAUCAAAUGGCAACGUCUACAUUCUGGUUGCAGUUGAUUAUGUUUCAAAAUGGGUUGAAGCCAUUGCAAGUCCCACCAAUGAUCACAAGGUUGUUCUGAAACUGUUCAAGAGCAUCAUCUUUCCCAUGUAUGGAGUACCAAGAGCAGUGAUCAGUGAUGGUGGUACACACUUCAUCAACAAAGUUUUUGAAAGCAUGUUGAAGAAAUAUGGUGUGAAUCAUAAGGUGUCUACAGCCUACCAUCACCAGACAUGUGGAAAAGUUGAGGUCUCUAACAAGCAGAUAAAAGAAAUCUUGUCAAGAGUUGUUGGGGCUUCGAAAAAAGAUUGGUCUAUCAAUUUGGAUGAUUCUCCUAGGAAGGACACCUUUUCAGCUGGUGUAUGGCAAAGCAUGUCAUCUCCCUGUGGAGAUUGAGUAUAACGCAUUUUGGGCUAUAAAACUUCUGAACUUGGACAUUGAUGCAGCCCAGGCAAAGAGAGUUCUUGACAUCCAUGAACUUGAGGAAAUCAAACUUGAUGCUUUUGAAAGUUCAAAAAUCUACAAGGAGAGAACCAAAGCUUUCCAUGACAAGAGGAUUGUUGUUAAGGAGUUUAAGGCUGGAGAUCACGUCUUGCUGUUCAAUUCCAGACUUAAGCUGUUUCCUGGAAAGCUCAAGUCUAGAUGGUCUGUACCGUUUGAAAUCAAGGAUGUUAUAUUGCUUAGGAUUUUUUGUGUUUUUGAUUUUUGUUUUUGGUUUUCUGUUGGUCAGGAUUUCAGAUAGAUGAAGUAAUGCAAAAAAUAUCAGAAGAGUUAAAAACAGAGUGAGGUGCAGAUGUAUAAUCGAGUAUGACACGAAAAAUAUGGAAUGGGAGACAUGUUUAGGAUCCUCCAAAAAAAAAAAAAAAAAAAAAAAAGAAAAAAAAAAAAACUCAGUCGACCCACACCCCUUAUCCUCUCCCUAUCCCUUUCUCUUUUACCACACAAAAUCUUAUCCUCCCUCUACAUCUCUCACUCGAUUUCUUUCACAAACUUCUCACCUUUUUCUCUCAUCCCUCUCACUCGAUUCUCCAUCUCUCGCCUCCUCAACCUCGCAGCUACCACUCGACCGUGUUCACUCGAGCACCGAGGCUCACGCGACCCGUACUCACCAUCCGCUCUCGCUCUCGCUCGACUCGUCGGAUUUCAGCCCACUCGACCAGCGAAGAGUUUAGAAUCGGUGUCACUCACGACCCCACUCGACAAGCUCUUCCCAUUCACUCGAGCAUAGGAGCCCUCACCGCAUCCUCGGCUUACGGAAACUCCACUCGGCUAUCCUCACUCGACAAUUCACUCGACGUAAGCAGCCACCACUCGAGCUUCCCAUUGAUUUACUCUACAUACGCGUGUGUACCUCGACCGAGCACAAGUUCACUCGACCGAACCCAGCUGGAUACUCACUCGACCGGUGCGUCUCUCUCACUCGACCCGCUAGUGCCUUGCAUAGCUCACUCGACUGA